rnacentral:lncRNA from 1 species
GCUUUGUCGCUUCCCUACUGGCGCAGAGGAAGGAACACAGGAAAGUGAUAAGCGCUGAGGCGAGCAAGCAAGGAUCAGGUUAGAACAGACUGGUCACUGAUGCUAUGGACUGGAUUGAGCAAGUUUCAACCGAGAAGACUCACAAUUUCGCUUGCGUUGAUGAAAAGAGAUGGCAACCGGUUUCUGUUUUUUGGGUUAAUGAAGUUCAGCAGCAUGCUCUGCUGGAUUCCAAAAGUGCUAACAUCUGCAAUCUGCAUUACGAAGGAUCAGGUGUCAACUGCAUUUCCAAAUCCGACUAA